rnacentral:rRNA from 1 species
AAACUUGAGAGUUUGAUCAUGGCUCAGAAUGAACGCUGGCGGCAUGCCUAACACAUGCAAGUCGAACGAAGCCUUCGGGUUUAGUGGCGCACGGGUGCGUAACGCGUGGGAAUCUGCCCCUUGGUUCGGAAUAACAGUUGGAAACGACUGCUAAUACCGGAUGAUGACGUAAGUCCAAAGAUUUAUCGCCGAGGGAUGAGCCCGCGUAGGAUUAGGUAGUUGGUGUGGUAAAGGCGCACCAAGCCGACGAUCCUUAGCUGGUCUGAGAGGAUGAUCAGCCACACUGGGACUGAGACACGGCCCAGACUCCUACGGGAGGCAGCAGUGGGGAAUAUUGGACAAUGGGCGAAAGCCUGAUCCAGCAAUGCCGCGUGAGUGAUGAAGGCCUUAGGGUUGUAAAGCUCUUUUACCCGGGAUGAUAAUGACAGUACCGGGAGAAUAAGCUCCGGCUAACUCCGUGCCAGCAGCCGCGGUAAUACGGAGGGAGCUAGCGUUAUUCGGAAUUACUGGGCGUAAAGCGCACGUAGGCGGCUUUGUAAGUAAGAGGUGAAAGCCCAGAGCUCAACUCUGGAAUUGCCUUUUAGACUGCAUCGCUUGAAUCAUGGAGAGGUCAGUGGAAUUCCGAGUGUAGAGGUGAAAUUCGUAGAUAUUCGGAAGAACACCAGUGGCGAAGGCGGCUGACUGGACAUGUAUUG